AUGGCGGCGGUGGCCGGGAACAGCUCGGUGCCCGAGGUGGAGCUGGAGGCGCUGCGGGAGCUGCUGGAGCAGCACGGGAGCCGCUCCCCGCUGCUGCUCUACUGCAACUGCCCGGGGCUGGCGGCGCGGCUGGAGCGGCCGGAGCAGGGCGGCGAUUCCGGCGGCGACACCCGGCGCAUCGUGCUGCGCUGGCUCCGAGCCUUCCCGGGAACGCUCCACAUCCGCGAGGUGGGACCGGCCGCGGACCCGCUGGAGAGGGAGUGGAUUCAGGACCUGAGCAACUCGGUUGCAGUCUUGCCCGAGAUCACCACUAGCAGCUGGAUAAUGUGGAAACCGUCCAAGUACGAGCAGCAGGAAGCGCUGGCCCGCUGCCACCGCCAGCACGAGGGCGUGAAGGAGACCGCGGCCAGGAUGCGGAAAGUGGAAUUCUACGGAAGCGACAAGGGGGAUGCCGUGACCCAGUGGGUGCAGAACUGCCCCACGUGCAGGGAGAGCAACCCCGUUGCCAACCGCGACGCCGACCCCGACGCCCCGCAGCGGGCGCAGGGCCCCUGGUCCUGCCUGCGGAUCAGCCUCUCCCAGGCCCUUCCCGGCACUCCCGAGGGCUUCCAGGCGCUGCUGGUGGCUCAGGACGCGCUCUCGGGCUGGCUCGACGCCUUCCCGCUGCGCCAGCGCUCCGCGCCGGAGGUGACCAAAACGCUGCUCCAAGAAGUUUUCGGGCGUUUCGGGAAGGUCGAGACCGUGCUGCUGGCGCCAGCGCCCGAGUGGAUGUGGGAUUCCCUGCAGGAGCCGCCGCUGCGGGGUUUCUGGAGCCGCCCCCCCCCCCCCCCCCCCCCCCCCCCCCCCCCCCCCCCCCCCCCCCCCCCCCCCCCCCCCCCCCCCCCCCCGGCGCGGGCAGCCGCAGGCGGCGGCCGCGGGCGUGUUCAGGGCGGCGCAGGCGGCCCGGCAGGGCUGGGCCGAGGCGCUGCCGCUGAUCCUGGCCGCCAGCAGGUCCCAGUGGGUCGAGGACGGGGAGCUGCAGCCGCUGCUCUGCGUUCCCGAGCUGCCCCUGGAAGUGUGCUGGGAGUGGCCCCGCGCGGAGCGUCCCGACGAGGGGAGCGAGGAGAACGAGCUGUCCCGGCUGCGCGGGAUGCGGCUCCGGCCGCGGCCCUGGAACGAGGUGGAGGCCGAGCUCUGGAACGCGGCGGUGCCAGCCGGCACCUGGUUGUUGGGGCACCGCAAUUGGGGCGUGCCCGACCCGGGCUCCAAAUACGCCAGGGAGCCCUGCACCAUCCGCUGGAUCCAGUGCUGGAGCGCCGGAUCCGGGAUCAGAAUCCGCCAGAUCCGCAGGCAGGGGGCGCUGGAUCUGGGAUUGGGAUAUGA
rnacentral:lncRNA from 1 species